rnacentral:rRNA from 1 species
CCUACGGGAGGCAGCAGUGGGGAAUAUUGCACAAUGGGCGAAAGCCUGAUGCAGCAACGCCGCGUGAAGGAAGAAGGGUUUCGGCUCGUAAACUUCUAUCAACAGGGACGAAAGAAAGGACGGUACCGGAAUAAGAAGCCCCGGCUAACUACGGGCCAGCAGCCGCGGGAAGACGUAGGGGGCAAGCGUUAGCCGGAAUUACUGGGUGUAAAGGGUGAGUAGGCGGCAUGGUAAGCCAGAUGUGAAAGCCUUGGGCUUAACCCGAGGAUUGCAUUUGUAACUAUCAAGCUAGAGUACAGGAGAGGCAAGCUGAAUUCCUCGUGUAGCGGUGCACUGCGUAGAUAUUAGGCAGAACCCCAGUGGCGACGGCGGCUUUCUGGACUGAACCUGACGCUGAGGCACGACAGCGUGGGGAGCGAACAGGAUUAGAUACCCUAGUAGUC